rnacentral:lncRNA from 1 species
CUCUUCCCGGCAUGGGUUUCUGCCCAGCUCACCCGCUGUCAGCUGGGGUCCUGCUCUGGUGGGAGGAAGAGGCUCAGACGCUUCCCUGCCCUCUCGCCUCAACCACCUCGAGGCAGCGGCUCCCAGGAUGUGCACUUUGACGACUAAAGCUGAGCCGGCGCCGCCACGACCUUGGGCGGGUGGUCGGCCUCUGCCCUGAGCAGGAAGUAGAAAGUCUCAGCAGACCCUUCCUGAGGGCCGAGCAACAGUGUAGUGGCGUAUUCCACAUAGCAAACAGGGUGAAAAUGGAAAUUCACCUGUGGAACUCACUGGCCAUUGUGGAAGAAACAGUAAGAUGACCCUCCCUUCAUUAUGCUGGCCAAUAUGGUGAAUUCCUUGGAAGAUGAGGGCCAAGUCUUAUUCUUCUCAGUCUCUUCUGCAUCUAGCAGAAGAAUAAUGGUUGCACAGAAAAUCUUGGUUCAGUGGUUGAGUGAAUGAAUGGAUGAACAGGCUCUUGCACACAAAGAAGAGACAUGAUGUAUUUGCAUCCUUCCCUGCUUCAGCCAGUUUUCUGAAGCUCAGAGGGACACCUUGUAUUGCUGGAUGAUAAAAACAGGAGCAAAGUGAUGAAGUGCUGACAAGGCAACAAUAGAACAUGAGAGAUUCACUGCUGUGUAGGAAGAGAUCUUCGGUGACCAUGUAGCCUGAAGCUCUCAUUUUGUCAUCGAGGGACACCAAAACUCAGAACAGUGCUAAGCUCCUACAUCCUGUUCUGGAAGGACAAUCCUGAGCACACGAUGAGCCAUAUAAACUUCAGACUGACGCUGAGUGAAAGAAUGCUGGAAAAGCAUCACAGGCCAGGGCAGCAAAGUCUUCAAGGUCAUCCGUGCUCUGAUGAUGUCACGCUUCUUCCCUGUCUGGAAGACAUUUCCCCAAGAGCAUACCACCAACAUCAGGGAAAUGGAAUCCAACUGGUCGCUGCAAAGUUUGCUGAGCACACAGUGAUAAAGAUGGCAAGAAGGUCCUGAGAGAAACGCAAUAUUUUUGUGCAGAAUGGGAUGUUCUGCCUUUGUCCCAUGCUUUGAAAUUUACCACAUGAAAAAUAAAAUUAAAUACUGAUCAUCA